GCGGGUUUAGCUCAGUUGGGAGAGCGUCAGACUGAAGUUCCACUUUGGUUCGAACCUUAUCAAGGUCAUCUGAAGGUCGUGUGUUCGAUCCACACAAACCGCA